rnacentral:rRNA from 1 species
UACGUAGGGGGCAAGCGUUGUCCGGAUUUACUGGGCGUAAAGCGCGCGUAGGCGGAACGUUAAGUCCGGUCUGAAAGCCCCCGGCUCAACCGGAGAGGGUGGCUGGAAACUGGCGUUCUUGAGGGCGAGAGAGGAGGGUGGAAUUCCUGGUGUAGCGGUGAAAUGCGUAGAGAUCAGGAGGAACACCCGGGGCGAAGGCGGCCCUCUGGCUCGACCCUGACGCUGAGGCGCGAAAGCGUGGGGAGCGAACGGG